UUAUAUUAUAUGAUUUUCAGCAUAAAAAUAGCUUGAAAAAUAUCUUAAACAGUCUUAACAAUUUGAUUUACCAAAGGAAAAACAAAAACUAAAGAAUUUGCAGGGUAUAUACUAGUUUUGAAGAACUAGUCAUUCCACUUAUUGCUUUUAUAUAUUAAAAUAAAUGAUUUAUCUAUCUACUCUCUUUCUGUUUGACACUUAUUAAUUUUCUAAUAUUUAAAAAUCUUAUCUGUUCUCUGAUAAACUAAAAUAUAAAAUCUUGAUAAACGAAAUGCGUUUAAAUUGUUCUAUCAAUUACAUAUUAAGAAAUAAUUUGAUUGAAAAAGAAUCUUUUAACUGUAGAUAUUACUCAAGUAAUUUUAAAAUAAUGUUAAUUUUUCGACAGUUAUUUGACAAAGAAUCAUCAACAUACACCUACUUAUUAGCAGACAAUGAGAAUAAAGAUGCAAUCAUUAUUGACCCUGUCCUUGAGCAAGUUAACCGUGAUUAUGCAAUAAUUAAAAGACUGCAAUUAAAUCUUUUGUACUGUGCUAACACUCAUGUUCAUGCUGAUCAUGUUACUGGCUCUGGUUCAUUGAAAAAAAUGUUACCGAAUUGCCAGAGUAUAAUAUCAACACAGAGUGGUGCUAAAGCAGAUAUUUAUGUAAGUUCCGGUGAUAAAAUUAAAUUAGGAAGUUAUGAAAUUGAAGUUAGAUCAACUCCAGGUCAUACUAAUGGAUGUGUAACAUACGUAUGCCAUAGUGAAGGCAUGAUGUUUACUGGUGAUUGUCUGUUAAUUGGUGGCUGUGGAAGAACAGAUUUUCAAGAAGGGAAUCCUAGAACUCUUUAUAAUUCAGUUUAUCAAGAAAUUUAUUCAUUACCAAAUUAUUACAAAAUAUAUCCAGCUCAUGAUUACACAGGACAAACUGUUUCUACUGUUGGGGAAGAAAAGAUGAAUAACCCUCGUUUAACAAAAACUUGUGAAAAAUUUAUUGAAAUUAUGAAUAAUUUAAAUUUAGCAUACCCUAAAAAAAUUGAUGUUAGUGUUCCAGCAAAUCUCAAAUGUGGUAUUCAAGAUAAUUUUUAAUCAUUUGAAAAUAUGUUGUAAAUUAUUUGUUAUAUCCAUCGAUAGAUUUAAAAAUUGUUUUAAUGUUAAAUAUUUGAUAAUCCAUAUAUUUUUAUAGAUAUAUAGCUCUAAAGAUGAACGCUACUACAACAUGUUGCAUCUUGUUGCGAUUAAUUUCAACGUUUUUUUCUAAUAAAUCAGAAGAAAUAAACAAUGAAGGUUCUUCCUUGAAAUAUCGAAAUACAACUUUAUACAAUAUGCCAUGUACCCAAAAUGACGAUUGCCAAAGUGUAGAAAUGUAUUGUACCGUAAAUUCUUCUAAAAUAUGUCAAUGUUCCAAAUUUUAUUAUUGGAAUGAAAAUGUUGGGCAAUGUGUUUUGAAUAAAACUGAUCUGAAAAAAUGGUUACAUCAAGCAAUAAUAACAGAGCCACCUCCUAGUAAAUUUUUUUAUUACAUUUAAUGUCAAUGAACCAAAAAAUACAUAAAUAAAUAAGGAUCAACUCCUUAAUUAAAAAUAAAUUAUGUGUUAAAGAUAUAUAUUAUUUUCAAUUUGAGGGGUUGUACACAUUUUUUUAUUAAUAACCCCUGCUAUCGAAAAAUCUUAAGAUAUUAAAAUCUGUAUGGUAGUCAAGUUCAAUUGCUUCCUUAAUUUUUAAUGAACCUGGUGUAGUAACAUUAUAAAUAAUAAAAACCACUAAAGAUCAUAGAAGGUAUAAGUCAUAUCCCAUAAUACAUUACCUAUAUAAUAAACAACAAAAUUCUAAUUAGAGUUUAGGUGUUGUUUUGGUCACUUGAGCUGAAUCAAGUUUGGUUAUAAUGAUGGUCAUCACAAGUACCUUGAUUAUCAUUAAUUUUCAUUAUCAAGUGAUAAAUUUUGGGUAGGUUGUUUACCUUCUACACCAAAAUUGUACCAAUAAUAAAGAUGAAGAUUUCAUUUUAAAAGAAAUGCAUUCUCAGGUAAAGAUUAUCAUGGGACUAAGUGCUUGCUGUAUAUUUGCUUGUGCAUUUUAUGGAUGCUGCUGCCGAAACGAAGUAAACAUUGUAGAAAAACCAAAUGAUAAAAUAUUAAUUUUAAAACCAAUUAAAAGAAGAUCAUUUCGGUAAAAUUGAUUUUGUGCAAUAAAAUCUGUUAAACUAAUAUAAAAAUUUAUACAAAUAAAUUAUUUUAUUUGAUGAAUAAUUGUUGUCAACAUUAAAA